rnacentral:tRNA from 1 species
UGGCUCAGUGGCAGAGCACAUGUCUAGCACAUAUGAGGCCUGGGUUCAAUUCCCAG